UUUUUUAAUCCUUUAAUCUCAGCCAUGGAUCAAGAUAGAUCCUUGAUCCAUCGACUAAAAUCACACCCCCUUUUCUUUCCUUUUUAACCAACAAAACAAACCCUAAUCCCAGUAUUCCCUCAACAGCCGCAUCUCUCUUUCUCCCUCUUCCUCUCUUUCUUUCUUUCUCUAUCAAAUAGCAAAAGCUGCCAUCGAUCAUCGUAUCUGGUGAGACGCCGGAGCAGUCGCGCCCCAUUGUCGGACUCCUCUCUCCCAUUUCCAGCCGUGGCUCCAGCCGGCAGAACCAUCAAGAACCGCCGCCAUCAUCGCUACCCACCAUCCACUGCUCUAGCGUUGACUCCCUCUCCGUCGCUCAACCGGCAAAAUCCAACAGCCAACUCCACCGCUAGCCACCAAAUCCGAACCAGCGGCCACAACAGCUAACUUCGGAUGCCGUACCAUCAUUUUGGCCAGCGAAAUCAGUCUCACCGGUGGAUGUCAACCAUGGACGAUGAAUCUCCACCAACACCGCCAUUUCUCUACCCGUUUCCGAUAAAAAAUAGUCCAUUACCAUCGUCACUCCGUUAAAUGUCAACGGAAGAAUCUUAAGUACAUGACGGAUUCAGUUUGGUUUCUUUUUUCAAGUUUCGCCCAAAACCCUUUAUGUUGAUUAUUUUUGUUUUACUCAUUCUGUGAUUUGAAAUUAGUGAAAUUUGAUUUUUUGAAUUUUGAUUUGACUCUUUGAUUUUCUGCUUAUUUGUAUUCUUUAAUUGACAUAUGCUAAGUCCAUUACCGUUUGUUUGGCAAUACUAUUGUUGAAUCAUGAUCUUAUUAAUAUAAUUUUAUUGGCGUGUAUGAUUACUUACUUUGCAGUUUGUGUGUUGAAGUUUUUGGAGGAGUUGGAAGUGAGUUACUGUUUUCAUUUGGCAAAUGGGUUUGAUGUUAUAGUGGGAAUUAGUGUAAAGCAACAGGUGUUAGUGUAAAAAGAUUUCAAAAUUGUUACACAAAAAAAAAAGUUUAGAACUAGUUGUGAUAUGAUUGGUGUUACACAGAGGUACAAUUGACCAUCUUUUUUCAUUUUUUAUUUCCAAAGAGACUGGCACAGUUGAUGCAAAACACAGUUUUGAGCUAUACUACUUUCUUUUUAGCUACUAAAAGUUUGGUCACUUAGAGCUAUUCAUUAUAUAGAAAUUAGUAAUGUAAAAUUAUAUUAUAUAUUACAAGAAACAAAAUACAUUUAUCCAUCAAUUCAUAAGGAAAUGAGUGAAACAUAAUUCUGUACAUAUGGAAUAAGUAAAAGAAAAUGACUAUGUAAUAACAUAAAGUCCCGAUUUAUGGCAAGACUAAAAGUGUAAACACUUGCUGAGAAAAUGUUACUGUAGCAUUAUUUCCAGAUCCCUAUUCCCUUCUACUAUUUUCUUGAAAAUUAACCAAAUAUACAGGUUGUUCUUUAAAUGUAGGUAUUUGAAAUGUGAACUUGUGCUUUGAAUUUAGUUAAGUGUGGUCAUUUGAAAAGUGAAUUAGUGAGUCGAAAAUAUUUAAGUGUAGUUACUUAGAAGGUGGACUUGUGUUUUGAAUAUAGUUGAGUGUGGUCACUAGAGAAGUGAGUUAGUGAGUUGAAAAUGUUUAAGUGUAGGUACUUGAAAUGUGGACUUGUAUUUUGAAUUUAACCAAGUGUGGUCACGUGAGAAGUGAGUUAGUGACUUGAAAAUAUUUAAGUGUAGGUACUUGAAAUGUGGACUUGUGUUUUGAAUUGAGAAAAUACCCAAUUACCUCUCGAACUAUACCUGAAAGAGUUGUGACACACCUCAACUUUAAGGGAGUCCUAUUACCCCUUAACUAAUUAAAAGUAGAAUUUUCACUACCUUAGUGCCUAUGUGGCACAUAUGUGGCACACACGUGUGCCUACAUGGACACUUCAGCGUGUUGUGCCACGUAAGCGCCACAUAUGUGCCACAUAGGUACUAUGGGGUGAAAAAUUCACUUUUAAUUAGUACAGAGGGGUAAUAGGACCCCCUUAAAGUUGAGCUGUGUUACAGCUCUUUCGUGUAUAGUUAGGGGGGGUAAUUGGUCUCUUGAGAAGUGAGUUAGUGGCUUGAAAUUGUUUAAGAGUGGGUACUUGAAAUGUGGACUUGUAUUUUGAAUUUAGUUAAGGGUGGUCUCUUGAGAAGUGAGUUAGUGACUUAAAAAUGUUUAAGUGUAGGUACUUGAAAUGUGGACUUGUGUUUUGAAUUUACUUAAGUGUGGUCAUUUGAGAAGUGCAUUAGUGAGUCGAAAAUGUUUAAGUGUAGUUAUAUGAAAGGUGGACUUGUGUUUUGAAUUUAGUUAAGUGUGGUCUCUUGAGAAGUGAGUUAGUGACUUGAAAAUGUUUAAAUGUAGGUACUUGAAAUGUGGACUUAUGUUUUAAAUUUAGUUAAGUGUGGUCAUUUGAGAGGUGCAUUAGUGAGUCGAAAAUACUUAAGUGUAGUUACUUGAAAGAUGGACUUGUGUUUUGAAUAUAGUUAAGUGUGGUCACUAGAGAAAUGAGUUAGUGAGUCGAAAAUGUUUACGUUUAGGUACUUGAAAUGUGAACUUGUGUUUUGAAUUUAGUUAAGUGUGAUCACUUGAGAAGUGAGUUAGUAACUUGAAAAUCUUUAAGUGUAGAUACUUGAAAUGUGAACUUUUCAUUUUGAAUUUAGUUUACUUUGGUAACUUGUGUAGUGACUUAGUGACUUGAAAAUGUUUAGGUGUAGGUACUUGAAAUGUGAACUUUUCAUUUUGAAUUUAGUUUAGUUUGGUACUUGUGAAGUGAAUUCGUGACUUGAAAUGUUUACGUGUACGUAUUUGAAAUGUGAACUUUUCAUUUUGAAUUAAGUUUAGUUUGGUAACUUGUGAAGUGAAUUAGUGACUUGAAAAUAUUUGGGUGUAGGUACUUGAAAUAAUAACUUUUCAUUUUGAAUUUAGUUUAGUUAGGUAACUUGUGAAGUCACUUAGCGACUUGAAAUGUUUAAGUGUAGUUAUUUGAAUUAUGAAUUAGUGACUUUUGUUUUGAAUUUAAGAACUUGAAAUGUGAACUUGCGUUUUCAUUUUAGUAAAGUGUGGUCACUUGAGAAGUGAAUUAGUGACUUGAAAAUGUUUAAGUGUAGGUACUUAAAAUGUGAACUUUUGUGGCUUGAUCUAAUUACUUAAAUGUGAUUGAUUGUGUAGAUGGAACCUGAUUAUAGCUGGAUAUAUCAACGAAAUAUUGAUAAUAGAAUGGGUGAGGCUGAGAAUGAGGAUGUGGAUGACGAGUUGUAGUUUUUAGUCUUUUGUAUGUUUUGUUUGGAACCUCGAUAAGUUUUGUAAAUAAUUUGAUUUUUAAUGUUUGUAUUCUUAUGGUGGUUGAUGGUAUAUUAAAUGAUU
rnacentral:lncRNA from 1 species